rnacentral:rRNA from 1 species
CCUACGGGAGGCUGCAGUGAGGAAUAUUGGUCAAUGGACGAGAGUCUGAACCAGCCAAGUAGCGUGAAGGAUGACUGCCCUAUGGGUUGUAAACUUCUGUUAUAAAGGAAUAAAACGAGGCACGUGGGCCUUUUUGCAUGUACUUUAUGAAUAAGGAUCGGCUAACUCCGUGCCAGCAGCCGCGGUAAUACGGAGGAUCCGAGCGUUAUCCGGAUUGAUUGGGUUUAAAGGGAGCGUAGAUGGGUUGUUAAGUCAGUGGUGAAAGUUUGCGGCUCACCCGGCAAAGUGCAAUUGUUACUGGCAGUCUUGAGUACAGUUGCGGUAGGCGGCCUUCGUGGUGUAGCGGU